rnacentral:rRNA from 1 species
CCUACGGGAGGCAGCAGUGAGGAAUAUUGGUCAAUGGGCUUACGCCUGAACCAGCCAAGUCGCGUGAGGGAAGACUGCCCUAUGGGUUGUAAACCUCUUUUGUCAGGGAGCAAUUGGCGCUACGUGUAGCGUUAUCGAGAGUACCUGAAGAAAAAGCAUCGGCUAACUCCGUGCCAGCAGCCGCGGUAAUACGGAGGAUGCGAGCGUUAUCCGGAUUUAUUGGGUUUAAAGGGUACGUAGGCGGAAUGCCAAGUCAGCGGUAAAAUCGCGGGGCUCAACCUCGCUCCGCCGUUGAAACUGGCGGUCUUGAGUGGGCGAGAAGUAUGCGGAAUGCGUGGUGUAGCGGUGAAAUGCAUAGAUAUCACGCAGAACUCCGAUUGCGAAGGCAGCAUACCGGCGCCCAACUGACGCUGAAGCACGAAAGCGUGGGUAUCGAACAGGAUUAGAUACCCCUGUAGUC